ACUCCUACGGGAGGCAGCAGUGGGGAAUAUUGCACAAUGGGCGCAAGCCUGAUGCAGCCAUGCCGCGUGUAUGAAGAAGGCCUUCGGGUUGUAAAAGUACUUUCAGCAGUGAGGAAAGGUGGAGUCGUUAAUAGCGGGCCCUCAUUUGACGUUAGCUGCAGAAGAAGCACCGGGCUAAACUCCGUGCCAGCAGCCGCGGGUAAUACGGAGGGUGCGAGCGUUAAUCGGAAUUACUGGGCGUAAAGCGCAUGCAGGUGGUUUGUUAAGUCAGAUGUGAAAGCCC
rnacentral:rRNA from 1 species